UACGUAGGGGGCGAGCGUUGUCCGAAGUUACUGGGCGUAAAGCGCGCGUAGGCGGCCCGCUAAGUCUGGGGUGAAAGGUUCAGCGCUCAACGCGAACAGUGCCUUGGAUACUGGUGGGCUUGAGUUCGGGAGGGGGCAGUGGAAUUCCUGGUGUAGCGGUGAAAUGCGUAGAUAUCAGGAGGAACACCGGUGGCGAAGGCGGCUGCCUGGCCUAGAACUGACGCUGAGGUGCGAAAGCGUGGGGAGCGAACGGG
rnacentral:rRNA from 1 species